GGUAGACUUGCUCCCUGAUCUUAGCGGCGGACGGGUGAGUAACACGUGGGCAACCUGCCCUGCAGACUGGGAUAACUCCGGGAAACCGGAGCUAAUACCGGGUAAUACAUCGCACCGCAUGGUGCAAUGUUGAAAGUUGGCUUUCGAGCUAACACUGCAGGAUGGGCCCGCGGCGCAUUAGCUAGUUGGUAAGGUAAUGGCUUACCAAGGCGACGAUGCGUAGCCGACCUGAGAGGGUGAUCGGCCACACUGGGACUGAGACACGGCCCAGACUCCUACGGGAGGCAGCAGUAGGGAAUCUUCCGCAAUGGACGAAAGUCUGACGGAGCAACGCCGCGUGAGUGACGAAGGCCUUCGGGUCGUAAAGCUCUGUUGUUAGGGAAGAACAAGUACCGUUCGAAUAGGGCGGUACCUUGACGGUACCUAACCAGAAAGCCACGGCUAACUACGUGCCAGCAGCCGCGGUAAUACGUA
rnacentral:rRNA from 2 species